AAUAUCAGCACUGUUAAUAAUAUUGAUAACCGAGAUGAGUGCAGAGCAGCCGGUGGCUCGGGAGAGGAGCGGACACACGGCGGCGGACAGUAUCUGUAUGUCUGGGGCGGUUAUGUGUCGGUGGCAGAUCAUGAAGUUUUUCUUCCAAAUGAGAGCUCUGGUUGUACUACUUACAAAAUGGGUUGUGGGAACGGCGGGACAUGUGUGGGACGGUUCCUCCGGCGAUGCGUGGGACCUGCGGCUGCAUUGUGAACGAGGAGCUGUUUAUAUUCGGCGGCUGCUGUGAUGAUGGACAGACUAAUUAACUUUACUCCGUCAGCCUGCAGGACGAGAGGUUCAGCUGGACGAGAGUGACGCUUCGGUCCGGAUCGCUGCCGUCGCCGUGAGAUAAACUCUCCUGCUGGGUUCAUGAAGGAAGAAUCAUCUACUUUGGUGGAUAUGGCCACAAACCGCUGAGUGCAAUCCACGAUCCGAAGAGCUUCAUUGUGGAUGAAGCAUCAUGGGCCGAGGACAUCUUCUGGGGAUGGAACAAUGAAGUUCAUGAGUUUGAUCCGGAAAGAAGCAGAUGGACCGAACCGCAGACCUUCGGACGAGCUCCUCCCCCGCGAGCCGCUCACGCUAGCGCUAGCAUCGGCAGCAAAGGCUACGUGUGCGGUGGAAGAAUAAAGGAAACUAGAACAAGUGACGAGUUUUUUCUGGAUUUAAAUUCAUGGACAUGGUCAGAAAUAGUUGGGUUGGGUCUAGCACCUGUGGGACGCUCAUGGCACACGCUAACAGCCGUGUCUGAUACGUCUCUUUCUGUUCGGUGGACUCAGACCCAUGAGUGACGGCUGGAUGUUUAAUCUGGAGACAAAAGGAUGGACAGAGAUGGAGCAUCAAAACAAGGACAAACCGCGUCUGUGGCACACUGCGUGUCAAGGAAGAGACUCAAAUGUUGUAGUGUUUUGAGGAAGUCAUGAUUAUAUCCUUUUAGUGGACAAAGGCCACUGCAACGAUGCGCUUGUUUUCCAGACUCAGCCGCAGCCGCUGAUGCGG